AAACGAAUAAUCGAAUAAACGAAUGAUUUCUAAACGAUAAUCGAAUGAUCGAUUAUUCGGGUAUAAUCGAGAUAUCUCGAUUAUAUCAUUCGUAAUCGCCCAACACUAUCAUUAUCAAUGUGCUGGUGUGAGUGUGAACACGUGAGAAGUGCAGACAACAGAUUUUGGAAUUGUUUAUUCAACAAUUUCGUGACGAAGAGCUGCAUUUAAGGUACUUCCAACAGGAUGGAGCAACUGCACACACUGCAGUUUAAGGCUGCAGCAUGCAUUUUCCACCACGUUCUCCAGACCUCAAGCCACUGGACUUUUAAUUUUUGGAUAUUUGAAGCACAAAAUGCUUCAGUGACAGAUGGAUAAUUUGGCAGAAUUACAACAUGAAAUUGAACAAUGGGCCCAAAACACUGAUGAACGGAUGUAACAGAACAUUUUUGAAAAUGAGAAAAAGAGAGUGAACAUAUGCCUUGGA